rnacentral:rRNA from 1 species
UUAAGCUACUAAGGGUGCAUGGGGGAUGCCUUGGUACCAAGAGCCGAUGAAGGACGUAGUUGACUGCGAUAAGCUUCGGGGAACUGUCAGCAAGUGUUAUAUCCGAAGAUUUCCGAAUGGGGAAACCCACCUAAGCUAAUCCUUAGGUAUCCUUAACUGAAUACAUAGGUUAAGGAAGGGAACCGAGUGAACUGAAACAUCUAAGUAGCUCGAGGAAAAGAGAUUAUUCCGUUAGUAGUGGCGAGCGAACGCGGAGAAGCCCAAACCGUUGUGCUUUUGUAUAGCGGGGUUGUAGGACCUGACGUUGAGUUAUAAAACUUUUUAUUAGCAGAAUUGUACUGGAAUGAUGGACCAUAGAGGGUGACAGUCCCGUAUGCAAAAAUAAAAAGUCUCUAGUUAGAGUUCCUGAGUACCACGGGGCACGCUAAUCCUGUGGGAAUCUGGGGGGCCCACCUCCCAAGGCUAAAUACUCUUGGUGACCGAUAGUGGACAAGUACCGUGAGGGAAAGGUGAAAAGAACCGCGGUGAGCGGAGUGAAAUAGAAUCUGAAACCAUGCACCUACAAUCAGUCGAAGCCCUAUGUCCGCAAGGAAAUGGGUGACGGCGUGCCUUUUGGAGAAUGAGCCGACGAGUUACUUUUUGUGGCAAGGUUAAGCUAGAUACAGGCGGAGCCGUAGCGAAAGCAAGUCUUAAUAGGGCGUUUAGUCGCAAGGAGUAGACACGAAACCAGGUGAGCUAACCAUGGCCAGGUUGAAGCGAGAGUAAUGUCUCGUGGAGGACCGAACGGGUAUACGUUACAAAGUGUUCCGAUGAGCUGUGGUUAGGGGUGAUAUGCCAAACGAACUUGGAGAUAGCUUGUUCUCCCCGAAAUAGCUUUAGGGCUAGCCUCAUGCGUUUAGUACCGGAGGUAGAGCACUGGAUUGGAUAGGGGGCCUAUCGCUUACCAAACCAAACCAAACUCCGAAUGCCGGUACUCCAGAGCAUGGGAGUCGGACAGCGAGUGAUGAGAUCCGUUGUCGAGAGGGAAAGAGCCCAGAUCGCCAGCUAAGGUCCCUAAGUUGUGACUAAGUGGGAAAGGAUGUGAGAUUACUUAGACAGCCAGGAGGUUGGCUUAGAAGCAGCCACCCUUUAAAGAGUGCGUAAUAGCUCACUGGUCAAGUGAUCUUGCGCCGAAAAUGUAACGGGGCUCAAGUCACACACCGAAGCUGCGAAUUCUAUCUUAUGAUAGAGUGGUAGGGGAGCGUUCUGUAGGAGAUACAGUGCUGACUGAAAAGACAGCUUUCGGCCUACAGAAGUGCGAAUGUCGGCAUGAGUAGCGUAAAACAUGUGAGAAUCAUGUUCGCCGUAUGUCUAAGGUUUCCGACGGAAGGUUGAUCCGCGUCGGGUUAGUCGGGCCUAAGCCGAGGCUGACAAGCGUAGGCGAUGGACAGCAGGUUAAUAUUCCUGCACCACCAAAAUUGAGUGAUGAGGGGACGUAGAAGGGUAGACCAGCCGGGUGAUGGAAGUCCUGGUGCUGAACCUGUAGGGCUAUGAUCUUCGUAGGUAAGUCCGCGAAGGGAGCUUAAGGGGUUGUAUGCGGUGCCGCAAGGCCAGAAGUGGUUGAGCCCAAGCUAUCAAGAAAAGCCUCUAAACGAUAAAGACUAUUUUGGUGUCCGUACCGUAAACCGACACCGGUGGACGAGUAGAGUAUACUAAGGCGAUCGGGAUAACUCUCGUUAAGGAACUAGGCACAAUAGAUCCGUAACUUCGGGAAAAGGAUCACCCCAGUAGGUAAAGCAUGCACAUGCGUAGCUAACUGGGGUCGCAGAGAAAUGGCCCUACCGACUGUUUAACAAAAACACAGGUCUCUGCUAACUCGUAAGAGGAUGUAUAGGGGCUGACGCCUGCCCAGUGCCGGAAGGUUAAGAGGAGGGGUGCAAGCUCUGAAUUGAAGCCCCGGUGAACGGCGGCCGUAACUAUAACGGUCCUAAGGUAGCGAAAUUCCUUGUCGGGUAAGUUCCGUCCCGCACGAAAGGCGUAACGAGUGGGGCACUGUCUCAACGAGAGACCCGGCGAAAUUGAAAUGACCGUGAAGAUGCGGUCUACCCGCAGAAGGACAAAAAGACCCCGUGGAGCUUUACUGUAGCUUGGCAUUGAGUUAGGGCUUGGUCUGUGUAGGAUAGCUGGGAGACUGAGAAGUCGGUGCGCUAGCAUCGAUGGAGUCAUCGUUGAAAUACCAGCCUGAUUAAGUUUUGGCCCUAACAGCUAUCCGUAAUCCGGUAGCUGGACAGUGUCUGGUGGGCAGUUUGACUGGGGCGGUCGCCUCCUAAAAGGUAACGGAGGCGCCCAAAGGUUCCCUCAGGCUGAAUGGAAACCAGCCAUAGAGUGUAAAGGCAUAAGGGAGCUUGACUGCGAGACCUACAAGUCGAGCAGGUACGAAAGUAGGGCUUAGUGAUCCCACGGUACCGAGUGGAAGGGCCGUGGCUUACCGGAUAAAAGCUACCCCGGGGAUAACAGGCUAGUCUCCCCCAAGAGUUCACAUCGACGGGGAGGCUCGGCACCUCGAUGUCGGCUCGUCGCAUCCUGGGGCUGGAGUAGGUCCCAAGGGUUGGGCUGUUCGCCCAUUAAAGCGGUACGCGAGCUGGGUUCAGACCGUCGUGAGACAGGUCGGUCUCUAUCCUCUGUGGGCGUAGGUAAUUUGAGAGGGGUUGUCCCUAGUACGAGAGGACCGGGAUGAACUGACCGCUGGUGUGCCAGUUGUUUCGCCAGAAGCAUCGCUGGGUAGCUAUGUCGGGAAGAGAUAACCGCUGAAAGCAUCUAAGCGGGAAACUUGCCUCAAGAUGAGAUUACCAUCCGAGCAAUCGGGAGAGGUCACUGGUAGACUACCAGUUUGAUAGGUGGUGUGUGUAAGGGCAGUAAUGUCUUUAGCUAAACCAUACUAAUGACCGAAGGCUUGUCUAU